UUAAUUAGUAAAACUAUUUUAAGCACAAUACAUCAUACAAAUAUGUCCAUGGAAUACCAGUCGCUGAUACAUUAAUAGGUAAAAGCAUUGUUGCUAUGAAAUACCAUAAUGAUACCCACUUAUUUAAAAGGUUCAUGUGAACCAAAUUGGUUUGGAGCUCCUUUGCCUGAUUAAAUAAAAAUUAAAAUAAAAUAAGAACUUCAAAAAUAAUUGACCCAACCGCAAAAAAAAAGAAGGUAAAUUUGGUCAAACAUAUGGCCAAAAAAAUCAUCUGGGCCAUCGCAAAUUUGGGCAAGCUAGUCGCUACUGAUUUUAAAAUUUUUUUGCAGAGUUUCGUUUAAAAAUAGAUAUUUAGACAAAUCUAAACCUGUCUAUAAAACUUACAAUCAUCCAUACAUAUCCAAACCACCAAAAAAAACCCCAUCAUUUAAUACCCAAAACCAUCAUAUCAUGCAGAAUUAAUACAUAUUCAAUAAUCAACGCAUCCAACCACCAAAAUAUCAAGCUAGUAGCUACUAAUUUCAAGAAAUUUCGGCAGAGUUUCCUUUAAAAAUAGAUAUCCAAAAAUCUAAACCUGUUUAAAAAAAGCUUACAAUCAUCCAUACAUAUCCAACCACCAAAAUAUCAAGCUAGUAGCUACUAAUUUCAAGAAAUUUCGGCAGAGUUUCCUUUAAAAAUAGAUAUCCAAAAAUCUAAACCUGUUUAAAAAAAGCUUACAAUCAUCCAUACAUAUCCAACCACCAAAAUAUCAAGCUAGUAGCUACUAAUUUCAAGAAAUUUCUGCAGAGUUUCCUUUAAAAAUAGAUAUCCAAAAAUCUAAACCUGUUUAAAAAAAGCUUACAAUCAUCCAUACAUAUCCAAACCACCAAAAAAAACAUCAUUUCAAUCUCAAAAUCAUUAUAACAAUGUAUAAUUACCCAACUUUACAAAAGACGGAGAACAAAAAUACAUAUAUGCAGAGAAUAGAGAAACAACAUGUUGAGCACCACCCUUUACUUUACAUCUUACACCAAAUAUAUUUUUUACAACUUACACCAAGUAUACUUCAAUAUAUACCCGAAAAUACAUAUAAUAACAUUUACCUUGUAGAUCUGUCAAGCUUUACCAUGUCUUCGGUACAUAAACCUUUGAAAAGAAAGGCUAUCCAUCUCUAACGUCCACGGCCAACAAAUAUUGUUUGUAACAAAAAUCUGUUAUUUAUAAGAGAAAGCAAAAUGUUAGUAGUAUCGUACGAACGAAACAAUUGACACGUG
rnacentral:lncRNA from 1 species